rnacentral:rRNA from 1 species
UACGUAGGAGGCAAGCGUUGUCCGGAAUCACUGGGCGUAAAGCGCGUGUAGGCGGAUCGCUAAGUCUGUGGUGAAAGCGCCUGGCUUAACCGGGCGAGGUCCAUGGAAACUAGCGGUCUGGGGGCCGGUAGAGGGGGGUGGAAUUCCGGGUGUAGUGGUGAAAUGCGUAGAGAUCCGGAGGAACACCAGUGGCGAAGGCGGCCCCCUGGGCCGCGCCUGACGCUGAGACGCGAAAGCGCGGGGAGCGAACGGG